rnacentral:rRNA from 1 species
GCCUGCUAGCCGCGGUAUUUUGACCGUGCAAAGGUAGCAUAAUCAUUAGUCUUUUAAUUGAAGGCUGGUAUGAACGGCAAGACGAGAAAUAAGCUGUCUUUGAAUUUCAUUUUUAAGUGAAAAAGCUUAAAUAAAUUUAGAGGACGAUCAGACCCUAUAGAGCUUUUUUGUUGGGGCGACAUAAAAGGAUCCUUAAAGAAAGAUUAAAAGAAUAAGUUACCUUAGGGAUAACAGCGUAAUUCUCUUGGAGAGUUCUUAUCGAUAAGAGAGUUUGCGACCUCGAUGUUGGAUUAAGAAAUUAGCGAGAUGCAGAAGUCUCGUUAAAAAGUCUGUUCGACUUUUAAAUUCUU